ACGAGCCUGUUUGCUCGCCGUUGAUUGGCUCCGCCCAGGCAACUGGACAAUUUCUGCUUGUCUCCUCGCAUUUUGAAUUUAGGCGCCUGAAGGGGAGGGAGGGUCGGGGGAGAGGGCCUCAGCGUCGCCUCGGGGCGCGAGCAGGGACGCCGCCAGGGGUGGAAAGCCAAGGCGGGGCACCAGCUCAAGGCUCCUCCGUUGCAAUGUAUUGUGCCUCACCAGACUCAGUGGCUUGUUUUCUUGUUCUCACUCUCGUUUCAGGCUCGCGAAGCAGCCCUGAGAGAACGAGCAAGGAGCCCCACGAGAGUCGCGCAUGCUGGAAGGGGGAUGGUUGUGAGGAUCUCUAGAGCUCCCCACACAGCUCUGAGAGGCGACUUCCCCUGGGAAAUAGGGGCUGCCUCAAAAGAGCACCUUGGUGCUUCAGUGGCAACGUGGUAGCCUGUAAAUGUACCCCCAACCCCGUGAGGAGGCUCCUUUGUCUGGACGGUGGUGGCUCCCUAAAAGAGCCUUUACAUCUUUAAUAGCAAUUCUGUGGCUGGCCUUGGGUGUUUCCAGGGUUUUAUUAUGGAUGGCUUUCCACUCCCAUUAUCUCUAUAUGCUGCUUGGAAUAUUGUUUAAAUACAAACUUAUAAUAUUUGUAAAAAGUAAAAUUAAAAUAGGCUUUAAAUAGGAUAAAAUCAAAUAAGCAGAGAAUAAAAUCUUGAAUAGGAUAAAAUCUAAAAAACAGUGAGCUAGUGCAGUAUAAUAAAGGGAAUAUAGGUCAUUAAUAUAACAGGGAAAGUUAAAAAAGUGUGAAGCAUUCUAAAAGCAGGUUAGGUAUUUUAGAACAACUAGUGUAUUAAAAUAAUAUUCAAAGUAGCAUAUGGAAAUAAUGAAAAAGCGUAUCCAUAAUAAAAGCCUGAAACCCCAGAAAGCAUAGGAUUUAUUCCUCAAAGCAGUCCCUAAGAUGGCUUGGCUGUAGCCCCUCACAGCUAGAUUGGACGCCCUGACACGUAUUGCUCAGAGCAGCCCACAAAGGAGCUAGAGCAUGACUUUCUUAUAUGGACUCCAUGUUUUUGCUUUGAAUAACCCUUAAUUUCGCUAGAGAAUAGCUUUCUCAUUCUAGACUGUAUCUCAUUGUUCUACAUGGCCUCAUUGAGUGGCAGUGUGCCUUUCUCCUAGAUGUUACACUUUUGCUCUAAGAAUCCCCUCAUUUAGCUGGUGGGUGUUGAUGUCCAAACCUUUCUGUGUAACCUUACUUUUCAUGUUCUGAAUAGUGGUGAGAUGGCAUAUCUGACUUGCACAGAUGAUCAGCUUGGUCUGCCCUGCCCGUGGAGGAAGCAAGGAUAGUGGAAAUAAUGCAGCAUCCUUGACCUCUUCAAGCAGCGUGGUGUGCUGACCAGGCUUGGCUGGCUGAAGGGACAUGGUGAUGAGGCAAGGGAACAAGUCCUGAAGGCUUAAGAUUUGAGGUUUGGUUCUCCUUCUUUAUUUAUGACAGUUAUAUACUGCUUUGUCCAAACAGGACUCAGUGUCUCAUUCAUGGCUUGGGCUCCUUGAUGAACAGAGAUGGUCUUCAAUAAACCAAAAGAAAGUAAAGGGUAAAGGUCUGAAAACUUAUGAAGAUUUUUCUUUUGUUUAGGAGGAAAAGGGGAGAAAAAACAAAGCAGUACAGAAGGAGGAAGAAAAACAAGUAGAAAGGAGAAACAAGAGGAAUCAAAAGGGAAGAGGGUGCCUGUCGUUCCUCGCUGCGUGACUUCGCCCUUCAUCUAUCUUGUGAGUGGUGAUGAGUCGGCAUCUCCCAAGUGCCCCGUCCCUAGUCUUCAGCUUGGUGCGCCCUGCCCACGGAGAAAGCCGGGGAGGGUGGAAGCGCGGCAUCCAUGACCUCUUCCAGCAGCGUGGUGUGCCGAGGAGCGGGCCCUGCUGGCUGGCUGAAGAAGGCACACGAAGGCAAUGGGGAGCAAGGACAGAAGAAAGAGGGGCAGAAGGAGGAAGAGAAGCAAGCAGCAAGGCGCCAGAGGAGACGUGAAAAGAAGCAGGAGGAGACCGGCUCUCCAGGAGCUUGGCAGAAGAGACGGGCAGGCUCUGCUCCCACCAGGCGGACGGCUUCAUUUCUCUCUCUCUCUCUCUCGGCCACUGAUCACUCUGGGUGGGGCUGAUGGCCCUGCAGCGUGGCAUCCCUCAUGCUGGACUUCACGUCUUUGCACCAAGGAGCCCUGAAAGGGGUGGGAGUGCGGCCUUCUCGGGCCGCCCUGAAUCUCUCUGCAUCACGGAGUCCCUUGCAAUUGGGUGGGAGGUGGCUUGCUCCUGCUGGACCUGAAGUAUGUGCGCUGAGCCGCCCCUAGAUGGGACUGGGGGUAUUGCUUUCUCGCGCCACUGCUUUAUGUAUGUGCGCUGAGCUGCCCCUGGGUAGGCUGGCCUGGGGGUGUUGCUUCCUCGCGCCGAGCCUUAGAGGUAUGUGCGCUGAGCCACCCCUCGUCGGGGCUGGGGGCGUUAGCUUUCUCACGCCGAGCUUGAUGCCAUGUGCGCUGAGCCUGCCCCUGGCUGGGCUCAGCUUGGGGGUGUUGCUUCCUCGCGCCGAGCCUUCGGGUAUGUGCGCUGAGCCGCCCCGGGCUGGGGCUGGGAGCGUUGCUUUGUGCUGCCAGGCCUUACGUCUCUGCACUGAGCCGCCCCAGUGAGGGCUGGGGGUGUUGCUUCCUCUCGCCACGAGCUUCACGUCUUUGCUCUGAGAAGCCCCUCAUUUGGCCCGGGGGUGGCUCUCUCCAAGCCUUGCUGCCUGACUUUGCCCUUCCCGCUCUGAGUGGUGUUGAGCUGGCCACUCCGCCCUGCCCACGGAGGAAGCUCGGGACGGGAGAAGUGUGGCCUCCCGGACCUCUUCAAGCAGCAGCCUCUGCUGGCUGAAGGCAGACGCCUGACGCUUGGUGUGCUCAUGCUCCUUGGCUUGGGCUCUUGCAUGAGCAGCGCUGGUCCUCCAGAAGGCCUUCUCAAGAGGGAAACGAGUCAAGAGCUGCAGAAGCUGAUCUCUUGCCUUAGGAGGCAAGGGAGAGAAGGGGCCGAAGGAAGAAGUGCCGCAGGCUGGCCAAAGAGAAGCCGCAAGCAAGGAGCAACAGGAGGAGACCUGAACAGGGAAGAAGGAGGCGGAGAAGACUGGCUCUCAAGCAGCUUCACAGAAGCAAGACGGGGGAGAGUCCGCUUCGACCAGCUGGAGCGCCUCCUUGCUGGCUUUCUCUCUGCUCUGUCUCCCGGAGUAGAGGCUGAUUGACCUGGAGCCUGGCUGCUUCAUGAGGCUUAGGAUGUCCCUGCCCUGAGUAGCCUCUGGUUGGGGAGGGGCGUGGACAUAAUAACAGGAUGGACUCGGUGUCCAUACGCUCAGUGGCCCUUUCUUGAACUGGGCUGCGGCUUUCUCGUGCUGGACUUCACAUCUCUGCACUGGGGAGCCAUACAAAGAGUGAGAGCGUGGCCCUCGUAGUGGCCGUACAAGGAGCAGCCCCCAUUUCAGCUGAGGUGUGUCUUUCUCGUGCUGGACUUCAUGUCUUUGCACUGGGCAGCCCUACAACUGUGGGAAGUGUCUGUAUACUGGAGAAGCCCUGAUUUGUCUGCGGAGCGUGUUUCUCGUGCUGGACUUUAUGUCUUUGCACUGGGGAGCCAUAGAAAUAGGGAGAGUGUGGCCCUCAAAGGGGCCGUACAAGGAGCAGCCCCUCUUUCGGCUGAGGUGUGUCUUUCUCGUGCUGGACUUUAUGUCUUUGCACUGGGCAGCCCUACAACUGUGGGAAGUGUCUGUAUACUAGAGAAGCCCUGAUUGGGCUGGGGAGCAGCUUUCUCGUGCUGGACUUUAUGUCUUUGCAGUGGGGAGCCAUAAAAGUAGUGAGAGUGUGGUUCUCGUAGGGGCCGUACAAGGAGCAGCCCCCAUUUCAGCUGAGGUGUGUCCUUCUCGUGCAGGACUUCAGGUCUUUGCACUGGGGAGCCCUACAAUUGUGGGAGCGUGGCCUCUUUUUUUUCCCCUCAUUAUUUUUACAUUUCUUGCCCGCUCUUCUUCUGAGGAGCCCAAAGCGGUCUACCGCGUACUUGAUUUUUUCCUCACAACAACCCUGUGAAGUAGGUUAGGCUGAGAGAGAAGCGACUGGCCCAGAGUCACCCAGCUAGUAUCAUGGCUGAAUGGGGAUUUGGACUCAAGUCUCCCUGGUCCUAGUAAACUAGGGAACCCCUGAUUUGGCUGUGGUGCCGGUUUCACGUGCUGGACUUCACGUCUUUGCACUGGGGAGCCCCACAAUUGUAAGAGUAUGGCCAUCGUAGUGGCUGUAUACUGGGGAGCUCCGAUUUGGCUGAGGAGUGGCUUUCUCCUGCUGGACUUCACGUCCUGGCACUGGGGAGCCCCGAAAAUGCUGAGAGCAUGGCCUUCCCAGGCGAGCCUGAGUGUCUGUAUGCUGCGUGGCUGCUCAUUUCUCUGCAGGGUGCCUGUCGUUCCUCGCUGCGUGACUUCGCCCUUCAUCUAUCUUGUGAGUGGUGAUGAGUUGGCAUCUCCCAAGUGCCCCGUCCCUAGUCUUCAGCUUGGUGUGCCCUGCCCACGGAGAAAGCCGGGGAGGGUGGAAGCGCGGCAUCCAUGACCUCUUCAAGCAGCGUGGUGUGCCGAGGAGCGGGCCCUGCUGGCUGGCUGAAGAAGGCACACGAAGGCAAUGGGGAGCAAGGACAGAAGAAAGAGGGGCAGAAGGAGGCAGAGAAGCAAGCAGCAAGGCGCCAGAGGAGACGUGAAAAGAAGCAGGAGGAGACCGGCUCUCCAGGAGCUUGGCAGAAGAAACGGGCAGGCUGUGCUCCCACCAGGCGGACGGCUUCAUUUCUCUCUCUCGGCCACUGAUCACUCUGGGUGGGGCUGAUGGCCCUGCAGCGUGGCAUCCCUCGUGCUGGACUUCACGUCUUUGCACCAAGGAGCCCUGAAAGGGGUGGGAGUGCGGCCUUCUCGGGCCGCCCUGAAUCUCUCUGCAUCACGGAGUCCCUUGCAAUUGGGUGGGAGGUGGCUUGCUCCUGCUGGACCUGAAGUAUGUGCGCUGAGCCGCCCCUGGAUGGGACUGGGGGUAUUGCUUUCUCGCGCCACUGUUUUAUGUAUGUGCGCUGAGCUGCCCCUGGGUAGGCUGGCCUGGGGGUGUUGCUUCCUCGCGCCGAGCCUUAGAGGUAUGUGCGCUGAGCCACCCCUCGUCGGGGCUGGGGGCGUUAGCUUUCUCACGCCGAGCUUGAUGCCAUGUGCGCUGAGCCUGCCCCUGGCUGGGCUCAGCUUGGGGGUGUUGCUUCCUCUCGCGCCGAGCCUUCGGGUAUGUGCGCUGAGCCGCCCCGGGCUGGGGCUGGGAGCGUUGCUUUGUGCUGCCAGGCCUUACGUCUCUGCACUGAGCCGCCCCAGUGAGGGCUGGGGGUGUUGCUUCCUCUCGCCACGAGCUUCACGUCUUUGCUCUGAGAAGCCCCUCAUUUGGCCCGGGGGUGGCUCUCUCCAAGCCUUGCUGCCUGACUUUGCCCUUCCCGCUCUGAGUGGUGUUGAGCUGGCCACUCCGCCCUGCCCACGGAGGAAGCUCGGGACGGGAGAAGUGUGGCCUCCCGGACCUCUUCAAGCAGCAGCCGCCGCCUCUGCUGGCUGAAGGCACACGCCUGACGCUUGGUGUGCUCAUGCUCCUUGGCUUGGGCUCCUGCAUGAGCAGCGCUGGUCCUCCAGAAGGCCUUCUCAAGAGGGAAACGAGUCAAGAGCUGCAGAAGCUGAUCUCUUGCCUUAGGAGGCAAGGGAGAGAAAGGGCCGAAGGAAGAAGUGUCGGAGGCUGGCGAAAGAGAAGCCGCAAGCAAGGAGCAACAAGAGGAGACCUGAACAGCGAAGAACGAGGCGGAGAAGACAGGCUCUCAAGCAGCUUCACAGAAGCAAGAUGGGGGAGAGUCCGCUUCGACCAGCUGGAGGGCCUCCUUGCUGGCCUUCUCUCUGUUCUGUCUCCCGGAGUAGAGGCUGAUUGACUUGGAGCCUGGCUGCUUCAUGAGGCUUAGGAUGUCCCUGCCCUGAGUAGCCUCUGGUUGGGGAGGGGCGUGGACAUAACAGGAUGGACUCGGUGUCCAUAUGCUCAGUGGCCCUUUCUUGAACUGGGCUGCGGCUUUCUCAUGCUGGACUUCAUGUCUCUGCACUGGGGAGCCAUAGAAAUAGGGAGAGUGUGGCUCUCAAAGGGGCCGUACAAGGAGCAGCCCCUCUUUCGGCUGAGGUGUGUCUUUCUCGUGCUGGACUUUAUGUCUUUGCACUGGGCAGCCCUACAACUGUGGGAAGUGUCUGUAUACUGGAGAAGCCCUGAUUUGUCUGCGGAGCGUGUUUCUCGUGCUGGACUUUAUGUCUUUGCACUGGGGAGCCAUAGAAAUAGGGAGAGUGUGGCCCUCAAAGGGGCCGUACAAGGAGCAGCCCCUCUUUCGGCUGAGGUGUGUCUUUCUCGUGCUGGACUUUAUGUCUUUGCACUGGGCAGCCCUACAACUGUGGGAAGUGUCUGUAUACUAGAGAAGCCCUGAUUGGUCUGGGGAGCAGCUUUCUCGUGCUGGACUUUAUGUCUUUGCAGUGGGGAGCCAUAAAAGUAGUGAGAGCGUGGUUCUCGUAGGGGCCGUACAAGGAGCAGCCCCCAUUUCAGCUGAGGUGUGUCCUUCUCGUGCAGGACUUCAGGUCUUUGCACUGGGGAGCCCUACAAUUGUGGGAGCGUGGCCUCUUUUUUUUCCCCUCAUUAUUUUUACAUUUCUUGCCCGCUCUUCUUCUGAGGAGCCCAAAGCGGUCUACCGCGUACUUGAUUUUUUCCUCACAACAACCCUGUGAAGUAGGUUAGGUUGAGAGAGAAGCGACUGGCCCAGAGUCACCCAGCUAGUAUCAUGGCUGGAUGGGGAUUUGGACUCGAGUCUCCCUGGUCCUAGUAAACUAGGGAACCCCUGAUUUGGCUGUGGUGCCGGUUUCACGUGCUGGACUUCACGUCUUUGCACUGGGGAGCCCCACAAUUGUAAGAGUAUGGCCAUCGUAGUGGCUGUAUACUGGGGAGCCCCGAUUUGGCUGAGGAGCGGCUUUCUCCUGCUGGACUUCACGUCCUGGCACUGGGGAGCCCCGAAAACGCUGAGAGCAUGGCCUUCCCAGGCGAGCCUGAGUGUCUGUAUGCUGCGUGGCUGCUCAUUUCUCUGCAGGGUGCCUGUCGUUCCUCGCUGCGUGACUUCGCCCUUCAUCUAUCUUGUGAGUGGUGAUGAGUUGGCAUCUCCCAAGUGCCCCGUCCCUAGUCUUCAGCUUGGUGUGCCCUGCCCACGGAGAAAGCCGGGGAGGGUGGAAGCGCGGCAUCCAUGACCUCUUCAAGCAGCGUGGUGUGCCGAGGAGCGGGCCCUGCUGGCUGGCUGAAGAAGGCACACGAAGGCAAUGGGGAGCAAGGACAGAAGAAAGAGGGGCAGAAGGAGGCAGAGAAGCAAGCAGCAAGGCGCCAGAGGAGACGUGAAAAGAAGCAGGAGGAGACCGGAUCUCCAGGAGCUUGGCAGAAGAAACGGGCAGGCUGUGCUCCCACCAGGCGGACGGCUUCAUUUCUCUCUCUCGGCCACUGAUCACUCUGGGUGGGGCUGAUGGCCCUGCAGCGUGGCAUCCCUCGUGCUGGACUUCAUGUCUUUGCACCAAGGAGCCCUGAAAGGGGUGGGAGUGCGGCCUUCUCGGGCCGCCCUGAAUCUCUCUGCAUCACGGAGUCCCUUGCAAUUGGGUGGGAGGUGGCUUGCUCCUGCUGGACCUGAAGUAUGUGCGCUGAGCCGCCCCUGGAUGGGACUGGGGGUAUUGCUUUCUCGCGCCACUGCUUUAUGUAUGUGCGCUGAGCUGCCCCUGGGUAGGCUGGCCUGGGGGUGUUGCUUCCUCGUGCCGAGCCUUAGAGGUAUGUGCGCUGAGCCACCCCUCGUCGGGGCUGGGGGCGUUAGCUUUCUCACGCCGAGCUUGAUGCCAUGUGCGCUGAGCCUGCCCCUGGCUGGGCUCAGCUUGGGGGUGUUGCUUCCUCGCGCCGAGCCUUCGGGUAUGUGCGCUGAGCCGCCCCGGGCUGGGGCUGGGAGCGUUGCUUUGUGCUGCCAGGCCUUACGUCUCUGCACUGAGCCGCCCCAGUGAGGGCUGGGGGUGUUGCUUCCUCUCGCCACGAGCUUCACGUCUUUGCUCUGAGAAGCCCCUCAUUUGGCCCGGGGGUGGCUCUCUCCAAGCCUUGCUGCCUGACUUUGCCCUUCCCGCUCUGAGUGGUGUUGAGCUGGCCACUCCGCCCUGCCCACGGAGGAAGCUCGGGACGGGAGAAGUGUGGCCUCCCGGACCUCUUCAAGCAGCAGCCGCCGCCUCUGCUGGCUGAAGGCACACGCCUGACGCUUGGUGUGCUCAUGCUCCUUGGCUUGGGCUCUUGCAUGAGCAGCGCUGGUCCUCCAGAAGGCCUUCUCAAGAGGGAAACGAGUCAAGAGCUGCAGAAGCUGAUCUCUUGCCUUAGGAGGCAAGGGAGAGAAGGGGCAGAAGAAAGAAGUGCCGCAGGCUGCGAAAGAGAAGCGGCAAGCAAGGAGCAACAGAAGGAGACCUGAACAGGGAAGAAGGAGGCGGAGAAGACUGGCUCUCAAGCAGCUUCACAGAAGCAAGACGGGGGAGAGUCUGCUUCGACCAGCUGGAGGGCCUCCUUGCUGGCUUUCUCUCUGCUCUGUCUCCCGGAGUAGAGGCUGAUUGACCUGGAGCCUGGCUGCUUCAUGAGGCUUAGGAUGUCCCUGCCCUGAGUAGCCUCUGGUUGGGGAGGGGCGUGGACAUAAUAACAGGAUGGACUCGGUGUCCAUACGCUCAGUGGCCCUUUCUUGAACUGGGCUGCGGCUUUCUCGUGCUGGACUUUAUGUCUUAGCGCUGGGGAGCCAUAGAAAUAGUGAGAGUGUGGCCCUCAUAGGAGCAGCCCCUAUUUCUGCUGAGGUGUGUCUUUCUUGUGCUGGACUUUAUGUCUUUGCACUGGGGAGUCCUACAACUGUGGGAAGUGUCUGUAUACUAGAGAAGCCCUGAUUGGGCUGGGGAGCGUGUUUCUCGUGCUGGACUUUAUGUCUCCGCACUAGGGAGCUAUAAAAGUAGUGAGAGCGUGGUUCUCAUAGGGGCCAUACAAGGAGCAGCCCCCAUUUCAGCUGAGGUGUGUCUUUCUUGUGCUGGACUUCACGUCUUGGCCCUGGGGAGCCCUACAAUUGUGGGAGCGUGGCCUCUUUUUUAUUCUUAUUAUUUUUACAUUUCUUGCCCGCUCUUCUUCCGAGGAGCCCAAAGCGGUGUACCGUAUACUUGAUUUUUUCCUCACAACAACCCUGUGAACUAGUUUAGGCUGAGAGAGAAGCGACUGGCCCAGAGUCACCCAGCUAGUUCUUUACGUCUUUGCACUGUCUUUCUUAGUGGCCAUAGAGUGGGCUUUGGGUAUCACUUUUCCUUUUUGGAAUUUAAAUUUUUUUUCUUUUUGUUUUACAUUUAAAUGUCUGGGGGAACUUCAAUCCUGGUUACCUGACUUUGCUCUUCUUUUUCUCAAUGGUGAUGAAGUGGUACCUUUGGCCUGGCGUGGUGUGGCUGCAGAAGUGCGGCAUUUGUGACCUCUUCAAGCCGCGUCGUAUACUGAGCACGCUCUGCUGGCUGAAAGCACACGAAGAGAACAGGAGAAAGACUGAAGGAACAACUGCGGAACAAGGAGAAAGAACAUCAGAAAGUCCCCACAGGAGCCCUGAAGACUAACUGGAGAAGUGGGAGAAAACCGGAUAACAAGAAGCAGGAGAGAAGAAACAGGCAGGCUCCCCUGACUGCCUCCUUCAUGACUGAGUAGCAAUUCUAUCACAUAGAAAUAUCCCCUCAUUGCUGUGAGCCUCUUUCAACCCAAGAUGGUGACUGUCUCCAAAGGACUUCAAUUUUUGAUGGCGUCUAAAUAUUGGCACAGCCCCGUGAAGCUGCUUAGCCUGUCAGCUGGUGGGGGUCUCGAAAGAGCGGCAUGCUUGAGGGGCAGUUUUCUGGCAGUUCAGUCUUCAUGCCUGACCCUGUGUCUCGGCUGCUUCCUGCUCUGAGAAAUCCCCAAGGUGCUUGGAGUGUGGUUUUCUUCAUUCCUGGCUUGAUAUCUCUGCUUCAGAUUGCUCAGAGCAGCCACUGAGAUGACUGGAGAGCCACUGGCCUUGGGUGUGUCCAGGGUUUUAUCCUAGAUGGCUUCUCUGCCCCCCAUUAUUUCUGUAUGCUGCUUGCAAUAUUGUUUAAAUACAAACUUAAAAUACGUUAAAAACUAAAACAAAAAUAGCUGUUGCAUAGGAUAACCUCUAAAAGGAUAGGAUCAAACCUAAAAAGAAUAAACAAGUGUAGUAUAAUAUAAGUAGGAUAACAUCUAAAAGAUUAGGAUAAAAUCUAAAAAGAUUAAACAAGUAUAGUAUAAUAUAAGAAAUACAGAUCUAUUAACUUAAUUAGGAAGGCUAAUAGGAAAUAAAAUGAAGCAUUUUCAAAGUAGAUUAGAUAUUCUAGACCAACUAGUGUAUUAAAAUAAUAUUCAAAGCAGCAUAUGGGAAUGGUGAGAAAAAGCACUUUGCUACUGAAAGUCUGAAAGGCCAGAACACAUCCACCAGUCCCUCAUGUAGCUCUUCCGUGGCUCCGGGUCUCUUCCUACUAAGAUCUUACAGACUAUUCCCCCUUUGAUGCAAAGAUGGGUGCUUGGGCGAUUUGAUGUAGAAAUAAAGAUCAAUAUUGUCUUUAUGUAGCUUUGUUUACUGACAGGCUUAUAGGAUGCUGAAGAUGGUAUUUCUGUCAAGCACCCAGAACUGAUUCUUAUUUCAAGUUGUUUUAAUCUGUGUGUUUUUUGUAAAUGGCCCAGAGACAUGAGUUUUGGGUGGUCCUAACCAAAUAUGCUAAAUAAAAAGCUGUCAGUAUUGUCUGCUAGAAUCAAA